GUGAUCUCAGUGAGAACCAGAUUCAAGGGGUUCCCAGGAAAGCCUUCAGGGGAGCCGUAGAAAUAAAGAACCUCCAGCUGGAUUAUAACCAGAUCAGCUGUAUAGAGGACGGAGCGUUCAGAGCUCUACGAGACCUGGAAGUACUAACUCUGAACAACAACAAUAUAAGUCGUCUGUCGGUGGCAAGUUUCAACCACAUGCCCAAACUGAGAACCUUUCGUCUCCACUCCAACAACCUGUUCUGCGACUGUCACGUGGCCUGGUUGUCAGAGUGGUUGAGGCAGCGUCCCCGUCUGGGUCUCUACACACAGUGCAUGUCCCCUCCUUCCAUGAGGGGACACAACGUGGCUGAGGUCCAGAAGAAAGAGUUCGUAUGCACAGGCCACCAGUCCUCCCC